CCCCUAUAUCAUCUACACAUUACUCCUCUUUUUUCAAAACCUUUGAGAUUUGGUCCUUUCUUUUAACCUUUUUAGUAUUUUAAAGUUUUGUUUCCACUAAAUCUUUCCAACAUACAUCGAGGGUCGCUAUUCGAUUUUUGGGAUGUUUCAUAUCCUCAUGCUACAAGUUUCUUCAAAACACUUUCAAGAUAUUCAAUUAUGAAUUAGAUUAUGCGCAUUUAACAAAAUUAUCCACAUUUAAAUUACUUACCUCUUUACCCAUUCUACAGAACUACACUCAUUUACCUAUACUAUUCUGUUUUGUCCAUUCUGGAAUUUAGAUAUAUGCAACAAUUUUUCUAGCAAAUUGGAACAUUAUAACAGGACAUACAUAUCACUAAGAUCAUUCAACACAACCACUAAACUUACCUAAUUAUAUUUCUAAUUUUCAUUCUCAUCAUUACACUUCUUUUAUAUAUGUUUUUCUUUAAUUUCUUACCCACAAGAUUUAACACUCAGCUCCACCAAACCAACUCCCUAUUUGCAUUGGUCACACUAGAAUGUAACACAUGCACAUACACAGAGCUUGCACUUUACCCAUCGAACCAAGCCCUUCAUAGCCUUCUUUUUCUCGACUACAUCUCUAGCCUCAUUUAUCACAUGCAUUUGGGAGAUUCACACCCAUUCGAACACUCUGAUAUUUGGUCCACUCUACUAAUUGAGCAUGGGUCAGCUGUUCCACAU
rnacentral:lncRNA from 1 species